AGCGACCUUAUAUACAAGGUGUCGUGUCCGGCAGAGUAGGGAAGGGUGGGCCUCCUGGGCCGUCGGGCGAAGGGGAGCGGGCGUCCGAUGGAUUUUAUUCCAUCGGACGUCCGAGCGCCAGCACAACCCAUAUCUCUUCGGACACCCUUGCGUUGCAUGUACUGUUCAGUGAGCCGCUCCAUUAGCUUGGAGAGGAGUGAGCUCAACACCCCGGGGGCAGCGCUCACCACCAUGCCCGCCAUCUCAACAAUGGUGUGAAAUCACACAAUCGACAUAUUCAGAUCUUAUCUUAAGGUGAGAACUUUAAUCACGACGCGGCGGCAAGAAGUAAGGCCAGCAGGUAGCCAUGAAGGUGGGGAAUUUCUUGAGAGCUAUUCCCGUGUUGGCUUUACAUUAUACUAUUAUUAUUAUUUUAUUAUAGUUGGGGUAAUUUCUGGAGCUCUUCCUGGACCCUUCUUAAGUUGAUUUUGUUAUCUGUACUAGUACUUUUUUUUAAAGAAAAUACCUUUUACUCUGUACAUUCUAGUCAUUUGCUUACAUAAUUGCAAUUUAGAGCAACUCCAACAGUUGCCAAUAAUUUACUCCCAAUAUCUAUGAGUUUAGCAACUCCCAAACCAGUAUUGGAUAGGAAAAAAAACACCAAUCUCCAACAGUUCCAAUACAUGACUUCCAAUAACCAAAUUUGGGCCCACUUGGAACAAUUAGUUGGCCCGAUAGUUGAUGGGGGAGUACCGAUCCUUGUUCUGCGCGCCGCCGGGUCCUCUCCUCCGCACACGUUCCUCUCGCGCGGUCAUCUCCUCUCGCGCGACGAAGCUGUCCAGGCCGCCAGCCCCGCGCGGUCCUCUUCUCGCGCGGUCAUCUCCUCGCGCUGCCACACAUCGCCGGCCCCUCGUGCUGCAGACGCCGCUGGACCAAGGGGGUUCGUCUACGUCGUCCAGGCCGCUACACAUCGCCGGCCACUCGCGCGGCGCAUCCCAGGUGUCAAGACGUCAUGAGUUUUCGCAAAACUUUUUUCCAAAGACAAUUAGAUGAUGAUUCUUCGUCAGAUGAUGAUGAUUAUGUCAUGAUGUCCUCUGCUCUUCUCAUGAACCCGUUCUCAAAUGUUGAACGAAAGCAGGGUGGUUCUGUCCCUGGACACGCUGGUAUUUAUCGAGAUAGAGAAAGCGGCCAUAACAGGAUGUUUCAAGACUAUUUGGCGGACAAUCCAACGUAUGGUCCACAAAUAUUCCGUCGAAGGUUAGUGUCAAUAAAUAGUAUUUGUCAAUUAAAUAGUAUGAGUAUACCAAAAAGAUUGAAUGAAUAUAUAUCAAAGAAAAAAAAGAGCUGAUAUGCUCAACUGAUA